AGAGCCUUUUUCAUUACCUGCCAUUGGGGGCCUCGCUUUCCAAAACUAUAUUUAAAAUGGCUGUGUUCUCAAUCUCCAUUAAGUUUAAUCACACUCACAGUAUUGUCCUUAUGGCGAUAAUGGGGCAAAAUCCGAAGAUGUGUCGCAAGUCUAGGAAGCUAGCAUGGGGCACAGAACCAAGCACCAUAGAUCAAUUGAAAGAGACAUUUGAUUAUAAGUUCCUAGAACUACUGGUUCUCUGUGAGUCAAAAAGCGAUGUCUCAGAUAGGCUCAAGAAAACUAGAAGAACAAUUCAGAGUAAUGACCAGCAAUUUCUGGACGAACUGAAACCAUUUUUGAGGACUCCUGAUAAAUACAUAGCAAAACGUGUGAGGGAUGCCUUUUAUCCAAAUCUCAAGGAAGAACCCCCGAGAUCUAAAAGUGCACCUUUUCAAGCAUAUGAGCAGGUCAGUAAAAUAUAUGAAUCCCUCUUCUUUUUUGUUCCUUUUGUCUGGAUCAGGUAGAAAGU
rnacentral:lncRNA from 11 species